GCCUUUUCUCAGUUGGUUAGAGCAAGGCGCUGACAAUGUCAAGGUUGCAGGUUCAAUCCCUGUAUGGGACA